rnacentral:tRNA from 1 species
GGGGGUGGAGCUCAGUGGUAGAGCACAUGCUUAGCAUGCACAUGAGGUCUGGGGUUCAAUCCCCAGUGCCUCCA